rnacentral:tRNA from 1 species
GGCCACGUGUUGAAAUUGGUAGACAAGCUACUUUGAGGUGGUAGUGCCGGAAACGGUGUGCUGGUUCGAAUCCAGUCGUGGUCA